AGACAUUUGUUCUGCUGUAAUUGUGGGUCUCUAAUAAACACACAAGAAAAACUACUAGAUGGAGUCUCAGCUUACCACCCGCCUGGGAUUCAUUUACUCCUUUAUCUUGUCUCCAGGAGCACAAUUCUCCAGGUGUAACUAGCCUGACUUUCCUUUCGGAAUGAACUAUUCUAUUCCACAACAGAAUGGCAAAUUUGAACUCUUUUCACAUUUCCAUCUAUUUUCAGGGUCCUAACCCAUGUAACACUACUCAAAUUAAGUGAAGGUUUCCAAGGGCAAGUUGGUACUCAGACUGAAAAACCAAGUGUGUUUGCACCUAUCACUGGAGAAAGUCUCUAAGAACCGAGCACAUACCCCUAAUUGUCCAAUCAAGGUUUACUGUAAAGCCUGUCAAGUCGCUGACAUGUUUAAAACAAAACUAAGAAAUCUAUGUAGUGGCAGACUCCAGAAGAGUGCUGCAUGCCUGGUCCAACCAACCAAAGCUUGCCAUGACUACCAACAGCCCUACAGCUCACGGGAACAACCAAAGCUUGCCAUGACUACCAACAGCCCUACAGCUCACGGGAACAACCAAAGCUUGCCAUGACUACCAACAGCCCUACAGCUCACGGGAACAACCAAAGCUUGCCAUGACUACCAACACCCCUACAGCUCACGGGAACAACCAAAGCUUGCCAUGACUACCAACAGCCACAGCUCACGGGAACAAGCAGCCCAAGAAACCCAAGACUUCAACAGAAGAGCAUUUUCUGCAGAGUCUUCCACUGAUUCAAAUUGUUAGCAAGUAUUUACUGAGCAACUACUGUGUCAGGAACCAGCACUGUACACAGCAAAACAAAAGAGAAAAGUAAAGCAAGAUACCUACCUUCACAAUGGAAAAGCCAGUAUUAAUCAGAAUAGCAAUGAUCUGUAAUUAUGUGAAGUAACAGGAAGAAAGAUGAGGCAGUAGGAACAUGAGAAAUCCAGAUACUCCUUGAGUCUAAAUUAACUAAUACAUCCCACUGGCCUCUUUCUUCACAUCAUGUACUAGAGCUAAAUAUCCAAGUGAGACAUCCACUCCACAAGGUAGUGUUCCUGCCUACUCUCAAGGGAAAGGGAACAUAGAAAUGGUGGGACCACCUAGCCCCAGAAUGUAAAACACUGGCCAACACAAACACUAGUGCAUCUAAGAUGCUUCUAAUCAAGUUACCUGUGAACUAUAACAAACCUUCCCUGUUAAAAUGUUCUUUUUUAUCUUCCCCGGAGAAACAAAUACCAGCAAAUGUAUCCCUGGCACACACAGGAAGUCCCUUCCCUCUGACUCCAAUCUAAGCAAAGUAAAAGAGCAGCAAUCACUCUCUUUAUGAUAAUAAAACUCCUUACAAUCUUAAA